AAAAAAAAAAAAAAAACUAACACUAGCUUCUCUAUUCUUUUUGUAUUCUAUCUAUUUGUUUUCUUUUUAUUUAUUAUACGAUUGUGGCCCUGGACCACAAAACCAGUCUUAAGUCGCUGGGGUAUAUUUAUAGCAAUAGCCAAAAAUACAUUGUAUGGGUCAAAAUGAUAAUUUUUCUUUUAUGCCAAAAAUCAUUAGAAUAUUAAGUAAAGAUCAUGUUCCAUGAAGAUAGUUUGUAAAUUUCUUACCGUAAAUGUAUAAAAACGUCAUUUUUGAUUAGUAAUAUGCAUUGCUAAGAACUUCAUUUGGGCAACUUCAAAGGCGAUUUUCUCAAUAUUUUGAUUUUUUUGCACCCUCAGAUUCCAGAUUUUCAAAUAGUUGUAUUUCGGCCAAAUAUUGUCCGAUCAUAACAAACCAUACAUCAAUGGAAAGCUUAUUUAUUCAGCUUUCAGAUGAAUAAAUCUCAACAAGCCUCUAACACUAGCUUGCUCUAUACUUUUUCUAUUCUAUCUGUUUUCUUUUUAUUUAGCCUAUUAUAUAAUUAAAAACUUGCUUUGUGCUGCAUUAGGCUAACUGAGACUUGUCAUAGCACUUGCAUAUCAUUGCUCUUUUGUUGAUUUUGCAUGGUCCUCAUUUGUAAGUCGCUUUGAAGCAUCUGCUAAAUGUAAAUAUUAAUAUGCUAUUUGUGUAGCUGCAGCCUAUUAACACAAAUUCCUUAUUUUGUUUAAGCAUACUUAGAAAAAAAUCUCAUUCUGAUUAUUUUGAUUUAUUGCUCAGGGUGAUAGCAGUCUUGCUUGUGAAUGUGUGUUUAUAGAGAGAAACAGAUGAUUUUAUUAAAACACUAUGGCAUUACAUUUGCCUAAAAAUAUGUUUUGUAAACAGAAUGACUCAUCAGGCCGACCUUAAAGCCACUGCUUGUAAAAAUAGCUCCCUCAUUAUGUUCUCUGACAAACUGCAUUCCAUGUGAUCAGGCCUCCAAUUAGAUCCACCCUUCAUUUCCAUAAGCAUUCUUAGCAGCUGCGAUCACAAGCACACACUGGUUUCACUAUAUUAAUGAGGACACCUCACAGACCCAGUGGUUUUCAUUCGCACGUAAUGCUAUUUGCUAAACCUCAACCCUAACCAUCAAAUUAACCUGUUGACAUUAUUAUAUAGGCAAAACAGUUUUAAACAUAUUUAUGAUUCUUUCAAAUAGUCAGUCCCAUUUCAGAUCACUUUUCAUUUGUGAGGACAAAAAUGUGGCCUUGACAACUACAGCCAGCCUUUUAACUGGAGGUGCAGAGUGUGUGAAUAUCUGUGUGUGUGCACAGGAAACACAGAGUGUGGUGAGGGAGGAAGGCAGGAGACAGGAAGGAAGCAGUGACUGUGUGAGGUGGGGGAGGAAGUGAAGGAGAAUAGUGUUACUAAAAGUAAAGGAAGGAGAGGCGACCAGGCGACAGGGAUUUAAGCCUCUAGCUGGCAUGAAAAGACAAAUGGGAAUCCUUUAAAUGGUUUAACACACCACACCUAUCGCAAAACUUCAUGUCACACACCAACUUGUCUUUAGCUUGGCAUGUUUAAUGCCUUGAGCAGAAAGCAAAUCUAGGCCAGUUACCUAACCGAAUUAAUUAUGAAUCAGGUCAGGACUGCGGCAAAGGUGUUCUAACAGCCCUUUUAUGGAAAUGAGUGACAAACAAUGCUAAAAAUAUGACAUUUCUACUUCCUGAGAGACUUACUGAUUAGGUAAUGCAUCAUGAAACUGAUUUAAAUAUGAACUGUUUUGUUUUCUCAACAAAGCAAUUACAAACUUCACAUUGUUUCUCUACAAAAUUAGAGAUUAUUAUUUACACGUUGUUAUUGUUAGUUUGGACUAACAAGGUACUUAGAGUGAUUGCAUUCCUUUUAUGUACAAGAAAUGUGUUGGUGCUCAUGCAUUAAGGUGAUUAUGUUUUUAAGGUUUAGAGAUAAAUAUUUUCUGUAACAAUAACAAUGGGACCGUUAGAUAUAAAGCCCAUAGUUUGAAUAGAAAUAUGCAAUAGAAAAUUGAUAUAUUGCCUUUUUGCUCAGUCACAGCUUCUUUAGUAUCACAAUUUGCUUUAGUAUAAUAGCUCAUAAAAUAUAACAAGUACAUAUGUGCUGGUGAAUUACUGACUAUGAAUGCAAUUAAAUGCAGACAUGUUUAUUUAACAAAUUACUAAUAAUAAGGCAACUGGGUUGUUUAAAAAGGCCAUUUUACUAACACUUUAUGUUAUGGUGACUUUAUUACAUUUUACAUUUACUUAGGCUACCAUAGCAACAAUUAUUAUGCAUAAUUACAAGCAUAAACUGAACCCUAACAUUAACCCAACAGUAAGUGCAAGUUGUUAACUAAUAUUACUCAUUACAUAUUUGUGUAAUAACACUGUAACAUGAACACAGUGACUUUAUUACAUUUUACAUUUACUUAGGCUACUAUAGCAACAAUUAUUCAUUUCAUUAUCCGUCAUUAUGCAUAAUUACAAGCAUAAACUGAACCCUAACAUUAACCCAACAGUAAGUACAAGUUGCUAACUAAUAUUACUCAUUACAUAUUUAUGUAAUAACACUGUAACAAGAACACCUCAAAAAGUGCGCUCACGUAUUUUAAUUAAAAAAGCUAAAAUGUAAUGCUAUAUUUGUAAUAAGAGCAUUCAAAGUAACUUACAUAGUACAUACUUUCAAAGUAAAAAUGUUAACAAUAAAUGAAUUAAUAUACUGUAUAUAUAGUAAAUAUCUGAUAUAGUUGUAGAACAUGUUUGUUUUAUUUCUCAACUGUCAAUGAUACCUACACUAGUACACUGUAAAAAGUGAUGAGUUGACUUAACUUAAAAAAAUUGAGGAAACCAGUUAUAAUAAUAAUUUUUUUUUUUUUUAAAGUUAUGUGAACUUGACAAUUCACUUAACUUAUUUUUGUAAUUAUAAUUUACUUUAAAAUUUUAAGGCAACGGGUUUCCUCAAUUUUUUUUAAGUUAAGUCAACAUCACUUUUUACAGUGUAUAUACGUUGGAACCAGAGUUGCGCUUAUGGACUUUUAUUUUGAAAACUAGUACGUGCGUGCUUGUUUUACACAAGCCAUCUUGCAGUUGACUUCACAUAGCUCCUGAACCAAAGGGGCUAAUAUGUCGAUGGAGGAUCCUUUUUUCGUGGUUAAAGGGGAGGUGCAGAAGGCCCUGUCCAAAGCACAGGGGCUGUUUGAGCGCUGGGAGGAACUGCUGCAGGAAGAGACCCCCGUCAGCCGGGAUGAGCUGGACUGGAGCACCAAUGAACUCCGAAACUGCCUGAGAGCCAUCGACUGGGACUUAGAGGACCUGCAUGAAACCAUCAGUAUUGUGGAGACAAACCCUGGAAAGUUCCGUUUAGGAGAACAUGAACUCCAGGAAAGGCGGGAAUUUGUGGAACGAACUCGUAAAUCCGUGCAGCUGAUGAAGGAGCAGCUCUCUAGUCCCUCAGCUGUGGCUCAAGCAGAGAAGAAAAACAAACAGGCUCUGCUGGGGGCCACGGCAAAGGAUCGUUACGCCGGGCUGGAGCCUCACCUGGUGUCUGCAAACUCCAGAUACAUUCAGGAGCAACAGGAACAGCAGCAGCUGAUCAUGCAGGACCAGGAUGAGCAUUUGGAGCUGGUCACAGGCAGCAUCCGUGUCCUGAAGGACAUGUCCAGCAGGAUAGGAGAUGAGCUGGAUGAUCAGGCAGUGAUUUGUUUUAUGCUCAAUGUCAAAUUGUCCCAGUAUGCUCAGUGAGUUUAAUGAGGAAAUGGACCAGACCGGUUCCAGAAUGGACUCAGUGUUGAAGAAAAUGGAGAAGGUUUCACACAUGACCAGCAGUCGGAGACAGUGGUGCGCUAUUGGAAUUCUUGUAAUCAUACUGAUCGUGGUGCUCAUUCUGUUAUUCGCUCUUUAAACCAGACUCUUCUUCAGUUUGGCCCUCCAUCAUGCCAAAAGCUUUCAGAGGAAGUCAGAAUUUCACCAUGAUUCUUCCACGUCAGCUUCCGUUAUCUUUGUGAGAAAGAGUUUGUUAUUUUUGUAGUCUUUUAUAGUCUGUCUUUUUGCCUUCAUCUAACCCAUAUGUCUUCUGACUCUCAGCAUUUCACUCUCUUACUGCUUUUGGAUUGGACUCGUUGUCCUUGGCAAGGUCUAUUCCAGAAUUUCACUGGUGCCGAGUUUGAAGUUAACAGUUAUUGCAUUUGUGUUUUAUUGUGGUACAAGUGUAAGUGGGGAUGAGGAAUUUGAUAUUGCCUUAUUAUAUUUUUAUAUGUUUAAUUAUUAAACAGUACAGUAAUUGUGUGCAUUAUAAAUGCCCCUGAAAAUGGUUGACAUUACAUGUGCUAAUGGUUCACCAAGCACUAAUGAGUAAAGCAGGCUCAUAGCGCCCCCUAGAUCUGUAACUGGCAGUACCACCAUCAAACAACCUCUGAUGUGCUCUGGAAAUUCAAAAGUAAAUUAUGGCAAGGAAUAUAGGAUUAUUUAAAUUAUGUUUUUAAAGCAAAGUCACACCUUGAGGUUAACAUAGGCAUUUUAUUACACCAUUUGCUCUUCCUUUAUGGAUAAAUCUAACAUUUUAUUGCAUCAUUUGAGUGAGCUUAUGGAUGAUUGUUUGCAGAGAAAAUCAUUGCACUUUUCAUGAAUCUUCAUGGAUGUGCUGUGUGUACAGUAAGUACUUGGGUUUCCCAUAUUUUAACAUAUGAUUUUAGGCAUUGCUUUUGAGAUUACUGUAUAUUGAACUGUAAAGUUUCACACUACUGUGGAGAUGUGUGUAGAGUCUGACAUAUAGACAGUUGAUGGUGUGGGUUAUGCCUUCACUGCAUGCCACAGUGAUAUUCCAUACCCAUUAGUCCAAUACAUAUAUAAUAUAUAUUUGUCAUUUUAAUAUUUUUUUAAAGGAAAUUGCUCUUUUUAAUUGCAAUCCAACUCAGCAAGAUGCAUGUUCUUAAAGUCAGCUAAUAACUGAGCUGAUUAGACCCCACAGUUAGGAUCAUUACUUGAUAUUUCUAUUCCUGAACUUGAGCUCAGAUCUAAUAUUGUGCUCAUCUGUGGGUGUGCUAAUGAAAAUUUUGUACUCAGAUCUCUGUGCCAAUGAGUUGCUUCCAGUGUGCCCUCUGAUCUGGGUGUAAGGAAUCUGGGUGAAUGUAUUAUCUUUCAGCUUCAACUGAAUAUGACUGAAUAUUUCAGUAUUGCUUUGUCUAUUAUAAUUUUGUAAUAUGAUAGAAAUAAACCCGUAAAUAGCUGAAAGUCAGAUUCAACUCCAAGCAUAAGAUUUUUGAAAAAUGCAAGCCUUAAAAAAUGCCAAUACUCACUGUUGCUCAAAAUGUGGAACAAAGUACUAAAACGUAAUACCUCUUAUAUGCCCAUUUAGGGAAAUUUGGUACGUAUUUGAUUUUCUUUUACUUGCAAAUGUCUUUCAGUGCUGCCUACAUAAAUGAUUGUUUGAAAAAUCUAAUGCCCUUGUCACUUGUUUUUGUAAGCAUUUGUAUUAUAUAAAACUUUUGCCUUUAUUUUGGCAUCUUGAUAAAUCUAAAUGGUUCCUGAUUAAAGUAUAUGCCUUUGA